CCUAGCGGCCUCUCGACCAUCUCCCACCCAUCGGCCUCCCUACGGUGGUCCCACACUCCCACUACAAGAAACUUGCUAAUCCUUGACGGAUUUCCUAUGACAGAUUUGUAGAUCGUCACUAACAGACACAAUUCGUGACAAUAAUUUUUUGCUGUCAUAGAUAUGCACCAAUAGAUAUUACUAGCCCGCUAACUUGUGAUGGUUUUAUCCGAAUCGUCACAGUGUAUGCCUAAAACAAUAGGCCCGGUAUCAAUAGUGCAAAGAAAAAUAAAAAUAUGAUGAUUUGUUAAAUUAUUUGAACUAAAUAAUUUUGUUACUUUGUUGUACGUAUAUGGUGCAUGCAAAAAUUAAAAAUAUUCUGAAUAUAUAUGGUGCCGAAGGGGAAAAUACUUGGGAACAUAAAAAUUCCACGGC
rnacentral:lncRNA from 1 species